UUCAUGGCUCAGGAUGAACGCUGGCGGCGUGCCUAAUACAUGCAAGUCGAGCGAACGGACGAGAAGCUUGCUUCUCUGAUGUUAGCGGCGGACGGGUGAGUAACACGUGGAUAACCUACCUAUAAGACUGGGAUAACUUCGGGAAACCGGAGCUAAUACCGGAUAAUAUUUUGAACCGCAUGGUUCAAAAGUGAAAGACGGUCUUGCUGUCACUUAUAGAUGGAUCCGCGCUGCAUUAGCUAGUUGGUAAGGUAACGGCUUACCAAGGCAACGAUGCAUAGCCGACCUGAGAGGGUGAUCGGCCACACUGGAACUGAGACACGGUCCAGACUCCUACGGGAGGCASCAGUAGGGAAUCUUCCGCAAUGGGCGAAAGCCUGACGGAGCAACGCCGCGUGAGUGAUGAAGGUCUUCGGAUCGUAAAACUCUGUUAUUAGGGAAGAACAUAUGUGUAAGUAACUGUGCACAUCUUGACGGUACCUAAUCAGAAAGCCACGGCUAACUACGUGCCAGCAGCCGCGGUAAUACGUAGGUGGCAAGCGUUAUCCGGAAUUAUUGGGCGUAAAGCGCGCGUAGGCGGUUUUUUAAGUCUGAUGUGAAAGCCCACGGCUCAACCGUGGAGGGUCAUUGGAAACUGGAAAACUUGAGUGCAGAAGAGGAAAGUGGAAUUCCAUGUGUAGCGGUGAAAUGCGCAGAGAUAUGGAGGAACACCAGUGGCGAAGGCGACUUUCUGGUCUGUAACUGACGCUGAUGUGCGAAAGCGUGGGGAUCAAACAGGAUUAGAUACCCUGGUAGUCCACGCCGUAAACGAUGAGUGCUAAGUGUURGGGGGUUUCCGCCCCUUAGUGCUGCAGCUAACGCAUUAAGCACUCCCGCCUGGGGAG
rnacentral:rRNA from 1 species